CAGAACCACUGUGCUCUUGCCCAUUUUCCAGUCGGUAUCUAUCAAAACAACAGAGCAGGUGGAAAAUGAUAUUUUGGCUCCAUUUCUUCUUUUUCACAGUAUUCUCAGGUGUUCAAUCGGCGGUCCAGCUGGUGGAAUCUGGAGGGGAUGUUAAAAGGCCUGGAGACUCCCUCCUCCUCUCCUGUCGAACCUCUGGGUUCACCUUCAGCAGCUACUACUUCGACUGGGUGAGACAGGCUCCUGGAAAGGGUCUGGAAUGGAUUGCCCAUAUAGGUACUUACUCAAGUCCCAUUAGUUACUCGGAUUCAGUGAGAGGACGUUUCACCAUCUCCAGAGAUGAUUCCAACAGCCUGCUGAAGUUGCAAAUGAACAACCUGAAACUUGAAGACACAGCCGUGUAUUAUUGUGCAAGAGACACAGUGAGGGGAAAUGAAUCUAGAGCCAGACAAAAACCUUCUGAUGAUUAUGAGAAGUUUCUCCAGGCUUUUAAAUUUUCAGAAUGCUGA